rnacentral:rRNA from 1 species
UGCAGUCGAACGGUGAAGCUCAGCUUGCUGGGUGGAUCAGUGGCGAACGGGUGAGUAACACGUGGGCGAUCUGCCCCUGACUCUGGGAUAAGCCCGGGAAACUGCGUCUAAUACUGGAUACUAAUCUUGCCUGCAUCGUCGAUUGUUGGAAAGAUUUUUUGGUUGGGGAUGAGCUCGCGGCCUAUCAGCUUGUUGGUGAGGUAAUGGCUCACCAAGGCGUACACGGGUAACCGGACUGAGAGGGUGACCGGCCACACUGGGACUGGAACACGGCCAACUCCUACGGGAGGCACAGUGGGGAAUUUGCACAAUGGGCGAAAGCCUGAUGCAGCAACGCCCCGUGAGGGGUGACGGCCUUCGGGUUGUUAACCCUCCUUUUAGCAUGGAAAAAACCGAAAGUUGACGGUACCUGCAAAAAAAGCGCCCGGCCAAACUACGUGGCCACCAGCCCCCGGUAAUACGGUAGGGCGCAAGCGUUUUCCCGGGAAUAAUGGGGCCUAAAAGAGCUCGUAAGGAGGUUUGUCCCGGCCUGCCGCG